rnacentral:lncRNA from 1 species
GAAGUGAGAUAAGGAAUGUGAAUACGAGAAAUGACAGCAAGAUAUAGGCGACAACGAAAUAAACCGUAAGUGUCUUCAUUAUGGUCGUUCAAGAUAUCGUAGCAGUUGAGGAUACUGUGGCAGCUGGAAAUGGAACUCCAGGUUCUAUUCGAAUAACUUAAAUAUUUUAUAUGAUUUUCCUGUAUAUAUACAUAUAGUAGAUUACUUUAUUAAAGAAAUUUUGAGGAAGGAAUUUGAGUUCUUUUAGAGAUCAAAUUUCUGUUUAUCAGAUAGACAAGCGUUAUGGAGAAUAG